rnacentral:rRNA from 1 species
UACACGACCGUACCGCAAACCGACACUGGUGCGCGAGAUGAGUAUUCUAAGGCGCUUGAGAGAACUCAGGAGAAGGAACUCGGCAAAUUGACACCGUAACUUCGGAAGAAGGUGUGCCUUUAGUAGGUGAACCAUUUACUUGGGGAGCCCAAUGAGGCUGCAAAAAAUCGGUGGCUGCAACUGUUUAUUAAAAACACAGCACUCUGCUAAGACGAAAGUCGACGUAUAGGGUGUGACGCCUGCCCGGUGCUGGAAGAUUAAAUGAUGGGGUGCAAGCUCUUGAUUGAAGUCCCAGUAAACGGCGGCCGUAACGAUAACGGUCCUAAGGUAGCGAAAUUCCUUGUCGGGUAAGUUCCGACCUGCACGAAUGGCGUAAUGAUGGCCACACUGUCUCCUCCUGAGACUCAGCGAAGUUGAAAUGUUUGUGAUGAUGCAAUCUCCCCGCGGAAAGACGGAAAGACCCCAUGAACCUUUACUGUAGCUUUGUAUUGGACUUUGAACAGAUCUGUGUAGGAUAGGUGGGAGGCUUUGAAGUGUGGUCGCUAGAUCGCAUGGAGCCAACGUUGAAAUACCACCCUGGUGUGUUUGAGGUUCUAACCUAGGUCCAUUAUCUGGAUCGGGGACAGUGCAUGGUAGGCAGUUUGACUGGGGCGGUCUCCUCCCAAAGUGUAACGGAGGAGUUCGAAGGUACGCUAGGUACGGUCGGACAUCGUGCUAAUAGUGCAAUGGCAUAAGCGUGCUUAACUGCGAGACUGACAAGUCGAGCAGAUGCGAAAGCAGGACAUAGUGAUCCGGUGGUUCUGUAUGGAAGGGCCAUCGCUCAACGGAUAAAAGGUACUCUGGGGAUAACAGGCUGAUACCGCCCAAGAGUUCAUAUCGACGGCGGUGUUUGGCACCUCGAUGUCGGCUCAUCUCAUCCUGGGGCUGUAGCCGGUCCCAAGGGUAUGGCUGUUCGCCAUUUAAAGAGGUACGUGAGCUGGGUUUAAAACGUCGUGAGACAGUUUGGUCCCUAUCUUCCGUGGGCGCUGCAGAUUUGAGGAAGCCUGCUCCUAGUACGAGAGGACCGGAGUGGACGAACCUCUGGUGUAUCGGUUGUCACGCCAGUGGCAUUGCCGAGUAGCUAAGUUCGGAAGAGAUAACCGCUGAAAGCAUCUAAGCGGGAAACUCGUUUCAAGAUUAGAUCUGCCGGGGCCUUGAGCCCCCUAAAGAGUCGUUCAAGACCAGGACGUUGAUAGGUCAGGUGUGGAAGCUA